rnacentral:rRNA from 1 species
UGGGGAAUAUUGGACAAUGGGGGGAACCCUGAUCCAGCCAUGCCGCGUGUGUGAAGAAGGCCUUAUGGUUGUAAAGCACUUUAAGCGAGGAGGAGGGUACUGGUAUUAAUACUACCAGGUACUGGACGUUACUCGCAGAAUAAGCAUCGGCUAACUCUGUGCCAGCAGCCGCGGUAAUACAGUGGGUGCGAGCGUUAAUCGGAUUUACUGGGCGUAAAGCGUGCGUAGGCGGCUAAUUGAGUCGGAUGUGAAAUCCCCGAGCUUAACUUGGGAAUUGCAUUCGAUACUGGUUAGCUAGAGUGUGGGAGAGGAUGGUAGAAUUCCAGGUGUAGCGGUGAAAUGCGUAGAGAUCUGGAGGAAUACCGAUGGCGAAGGCAGCCAUCUGGCCUAACACUGACGCUGAGGUACGAAAGCAUGGGGAGCAAACAGG